UCUGAUAAGUGUUCCUUUUAUUGCAGUUAGUUAUACCUGUUUUUUAUAAUAGUCAUAGUUUUUAGGUAGAGAAUACCUAGGUUUAUUACCAGUGUAUCACCUUCAGUUGCGUCUGCGAUCUCAGAAAAUGAUCAAAAUAUUAUUUCACCAUCACGGCAUUCAGAAACAAGUAAAGAGAAAGCCAUAGGGAUGUGCUUUUAACUCUGCCUUAUCCAAGGUAAGACAAAGUAAAGGUGCAGGACAGGCCUGGUAACCACCACCCCAGGAGCUGUGAUUGGUUUUAAUGAGGCACAGAACAACUGUGAUUGGUUUUCAUGAGGCACAGAACAAUAACAUUGAUCAUUUCAACAGUGCAGUUUCAAGUAACAGUGUGAACUUGAGCCCUUUCGAGUAAGCAUGUCUCAAAAACCAUUCUGCUAGAAACGUGGGCUAGUGUACAAUUGUCUUUGAUUCCAACUGUGAUCACAAAAGAAAGAGAUUCACCCUAAAAAGGCCAAUGAGAUUGAUGAUGUAAUAAAAGUGCAUUGUGCUAUAGAAAAAGGUAUCUGAAAAGCGUGCAGGUCAGGUAAAAUCCAAUAGGUGUUGACUGAACAGACUGGAGAUAUAUCCAGGGAAAGGAAAUGACCAUGUGAGACUUUACUCAUGAACUGUUACAGCAGAAGUUAGAAAAAAAGGGCAAAAGUUUCCCUCCGGGGUUUUGAAAGCUUCAGUUCAAAUUUUUGAGUUUUCCUAGUGAAUGUCAUCCAUAUCUGAAUCUUGAUUCAGAAUAGAUAAAUUAGUCAUUAUUAUUGAUAGCUUUUCAUGAUGCCUAUAUCUUUUCUUUAAAACUUAAAAGAUUUGCCUAAAAUAGUUUAAAACUGUUGAGCCACAGCCC
rnacentral:lncRNA from 1 species